rnacentral:rRNA from 1 species
AACGAACGCUGGCGGCAUGCCUAACACAUGCAAGUCGAACGCGUGGCUUCGGCCACGAGUGGCGCACGGGUGAGUAACGCGUGGGAACCUGCCCCGAGGUGGGGGAUAACCGAUGGAAACGUCGGCUAAUACCGCAUACGUCCUAAGGGAGAAAGAUUUAUCGCCUUGGGAGGAGCCCGCGUCGGAUUAGCUAGUUGGUGGGGUAACGGCCUACCAAGGCGAUGAUCCGUAGCUGGUCUGAGAGGAUGAUCAGCCACACUGGGACUGAGACACGGCCCAGACUCCUACGGGAGGCAGCAGUGGGGAAUAUUGGACAAUGGGCGCAAGCCUGAUCCAGCAAUGCCGCGUGAGUGAUGAAGG